AAAUUUAUAUAUAUACAUAUAUAUAUAUAUGUAUAUAUAUAUAUAAAGGGAGAUUGCUGUCUACAGGCGUGAAGCUAAAGGACAAAGUAUUUCAUGUCUUCUCCACCUUUAAACGUUUGUACAUUUUAUAGUGUCCAUCAUCAGACACAGAAAGGAUUUGACUUGUGUCUUUGCACACGCACACACAUACUACACACACACACACACACGCAUGCAUGUACUGUACAUAACUUUCCAUGCCAAUGUGAAUAGUCGGCGGGCAAUUGUGGGUCUUGCAGCUUCAGUUACUGACCUAGCUCCCUUAAAGAAACGGAUUAUUUGCAGUUAGAGUUGCCUUAAGUACAAACAAGCUAACUAUAAUUGUGUAUUAUUUAUUGCCAUGAUGUUGUUAGUUGAUUUUAAUGAGCAAUCUGUAACUUGAUUUUGUUUUUAACCUUCCAAUCGUCAGCGUCGAUUGUUUUUCCUUUUAUAAUGAAUCAUUUUAAUUUCAAAACCAUUUCCAUUAUGGUAUUUAACAUUGUUAUUAUGUGUGGUGUAUGAGAACACGAAAUAAAAACAGCUAAUCAUGUGAGAGUAUGUAGUAUAUGGAGAAGUAAGCCAGGAUUAGGAAGAACAUUCUUUUUAAUGUUAAAUCUGAGGCUUAAUUAUUACAAUGCCAUGUCUAAAGCAUUUACAUGGUCACCCUCAGUACAGUACAAUAGCAUCAUGAUGGCUUCAACCCGAAAGGCACCAACACUGAAUCACAGAUGUCGUUAUAACAGAAAAAAAUUCACAAGUCUGAGAAUUUG